UCCUAGUGAUUAGAGUUUGAUCAUGGCUCAGGAUGAACGCUGGCGGCGUGCUUAACACAUGCAAGUCGAACGAACCUUCGGGUUAGUGGCGGACGGGUGAGUAACGCGUGAGAAUCUGCCCUCAGGAGGGGGAUAACGGUUGGAAACGACCGCUAAUACCCCAUAUGCCGAUAGGUGAAAUGAAUUUCGCCUGAGGAUGAGCUCGCGUCUGAUUAGCUAGUUGGUGAGGUAAUGGCUCACCAAGGCUUCGAUCAGUAGCUGGUCUGAGAGGAUGAUCAGCCACACUGGGACUGAGACACGGCCCAGACUCCUACGGGAGGCAGCAGUGGGGAAUUUUCCGCAAUGGGCGAAAGCCUGACGGAGCAACGCCGCGUGAGGGACGAAGGCCUCUGGGCUGUAAACCUCUUUUCUCAAGGAAGAAGAUAUGACGGUACUUGAGGAAUAAGCCACGGCUAAUUCCGUGCCAGCAGCCGCGGUAAUACGGGAGUGGCAAGCGUUAUCCGGAAUUAUUGGGCGUAAAGCGUCCGCAGGCGGCUUAUCAAGUCUGCUGUUAAAGCGUGGAGCUUAACUCCAUCAUGGCAGUGGAAACUGAUAGGCUUGAGUAUGGUAGGGGCAGAGGGAAUUCCCGGUGUAGCGGUGAAAUGCGUAGAUAUCGGGAAGAACACCAGUGGCGAAGGCGCUCUGCUGGGCCAUUACUGACGCUCAUGGACGAAAGCCAGGGGAGCGAAAGGGAUUAGAUACCCCUGUAGUCCUGGCCGUAAACGAUGAACACUAGGUGUCGGGGGAAUCGACCCCUUCGGUGUCGUAGCUAACGCGUUAAGUGUUCCGCCUGGGGAGUACGCACGCAAGUGUGAAACUCAAAGGAAUUGACGGGGGCCCGCACAAGCGGUGGAGUAUGUGGUUUAAUUCGAUGCAACGCGAAGAACCUUACCAGGGUUUGACAUCCUGCGAACCUCUUAGAAAUUUGAGGGUGCCUUCGGGAAUGCAGUGACAGGUGGUGCAUGGCUGUCGUCAGCUCGUGUCGUGAGAUGUUGGGUUAAGUCCCGCAACGAGCGCAACCCACGUUUUUAGUUGCCAGCAUUUAGUUGGGCACUCUAGAAAGACCGCCGGUGAUAAACCGGAGGAAGGUGUGGAUGACGUCAAGUCAUCAUGCCCCUUACACCCUGGGCUACACACGUACUACAAUGCUACGGACAAAGGGCAGCAAACUCGCGAGAGCUAGCAAAUCCCAUAAACCGUGGCUCAGUUCAGAUCGUAGGCUGCAACUCGCCUACGUGAAGUAGGAAUCGCUAGUAAUCGCAGGUCAGCAUACUGCGGUGAAUACGUUCCCGGGCCUUGUACACACCGCC
rnacentral:rRNA from 1 species